rnacentral:rRNA from 1 species
GGAAUUCGAUUACCGCGAAGAACCUUACCAAGGCUUGACAUACACCGGAAACUUCCAGAGAUGGUUGCCCCGCAAGGUCGGUGUACAGGUGGUGCAUGGUUGUCGUCAGCUCGUGUCGUGAGAUGUUGGGUUAAGUCCCGCAACGAGCGCAACCCUCGUCUUAUGUUGCCAGCACGUUAUGGUGGGGACUCAUAAGAGACUGCCGGGGUCAACCCGGAGGAAGGUGGGGAUGACGUCAAAUCAUCAUGCCCCUUAUGUCUUGGGCUUCACGCAUGCUACAAUGGCCGGUACAAAGGGCUGCGAUACCGCGAGGUGGAGCGAAUCCCAAAAAGCCGGUCUCAGUUCGGAUUGGGGUCUGCAACUCGACCCCAUGAAGUCGGAGUCGCUAGUAAUCGCAGAUCAGCAACGCUGCGGUGAAUACGUUCCCGGGCCUUGUACACACCG